rnacentral:lncRNA from 1 species
AUGAAUAUAUAAUUGUAUGAAAGUUUCGUUUAGAAAUUUUAUUGUUUGAAUGCUCAAUUCGAUAAAAAAGACUAAAUCGCGUAAAGUGCAAAAGUAUUGUUCUAAUAGUUAAAGGUAUCUAUUAGCUAUGGAUUAUAAAGUAAAGGUCCUUAUGUGAUGAAUAAUCCAUUAACUUACUUAGUGGACAAUUUUGGACAUUAAAUAGAUAAUAUUAAUGGUUUUAUACUAAGGGUUAAUUAGGUAAAUAUGUUAAUAAACCAAAAUAAACAAAACCCAAAUUAUCAAAUUUAUCAAUAAACCCUAACCCAAAUACAAAAUAGGCCCGUUGGCCUAAAACCUAAACUAAGUUUUCAGUAAACUAGGAAACCCUAGGUCCUUAUGCGCCGCUCCUCCAUGUGCGCCGUACUCCAGCUCCAGUGUGCACACCGCUCAAGGCUCGCCAACUCUUCUACCACACCUGCAAAACGAAAGCAAAAAAAAGAAACCAAGACAGAAGGCAGGAACACGAAAAGCAAAAGGACUAGCAAAAUAGAUGGUGAUUUUGUAACAUUCUUGGCUAUAAGAAGCCAUUUUCAAACAGAUGUAAGAGGGAGGGGGAUUAAUAAAAAAAAAACCAAAAGCAGAUUGUAGAAGAGAAAAAAGAGAAAACAGAGAAUAUUAAACAAUCAAAAAAUCGAAGCAAUCAAAAAAGGGGAAAAAGGUUGAACUCCAUUCUCUCAUUUCUGUUUCUUUAUAUCUUUGAUUUUUUUAUUAUUUAAAUCAGUUUUAAAACAAAUAAGGGAGAAAUGAUGAAAGAAAAUACUUACCCGAGCCUUGAAUCAUUGGUGUAUCGUCGGAGUUCUUCUCCGUUAAAACCGAAUCCAACAAAGGUGGGAACUUUCUUUUUGAUUCUUCAUGAUGGGAAGUGUCAGAUCCUUGAAUAUGGAUCUAAAUGGGGUUAAAGAACGAGAAACCACCCUCCGUCGACCACCGUUUGCGGUGGCUACAUGGCGGCUAGGGUUUGGUCUACUUAGGGCUCGCACAAAUGGGGAAAAGAGGGAGUGUUUCAGACUUUUUUUUAGAAAAGGAAGAAGAAUAAUUGAAAAAAAACUUAAAACUGGUUUAAA